rnacentral:rRNA from 1 species
UACGUAGGGGGCAAGCGUUGUCCGGAUUUAUUGGGCGUAAAGAGCUCGUAGGCGGUUCCGUAAGUUGGGAGUUAAAUCUCUGGGCUCAACCCAGAGUCGCUCCCAAUACUGCGGUGACUCGAGUCCGGUAGGGGAGAUUGGAAUUCCUGGUGUAGCGGUGGAAUGCGCAGAUAUCAGGAGGAACACCAACAGCGAAGGCAGAUCUCUGGGCCGGUACUGACGCUGAGGAGCGAAAGCGUGGGGAGCGAACAGG